rnacentral:rRNA from 1 species
UUUGGUGGCGAUAGCGAAGAGGUCACACCCGUUCCCAUGCCGAACACGGAAGUUAAGCUCUUCAGCGCCGAUGGUAGUCG